rnacentral:rRNA from 1 species
GUGGGGAAUUUUGGGCAAUGGGCGCAAGCCUGACCCAGCAACGCCGCGUCCGUGAAGACGCCCUUCGGGGUGUAAAGCGGUGUCAGGAGGGACGAAUGGCCGGUCGGUGAAGAGCCGGUCGGCGUGACGGUACCUCACGAGGAAGCCCCGGCUAACUCCGUGCCAGCAGCCGCGGUAAGACGGAGGGGGCAAGCGUUGUUCGGAAUGACUGGGCGUAAAGGGCGCGUAGGCGGCGGACCAAGUGGUGCGUGAAAGCCCUCGGCUUAACCGGGGAAGGGCGCAGCAGACUGGUCGGCUUGAGGGCCGGAGGGGGAGAUGGAAUUCCUGGUGGAGCGGUGAAAUGCGUAGAGAUCAGGAAGAACGUCGGUGGCGAAGGCGGUCUCCUGGACGGAUACUGACGCUGAGGCGCGAGAGCGUGGGGAGCGAACGGGAUUAGAAACCCUAGUAGUCC